rnacentral:rRNA from 1 species
AUUGAACGCUGGCGGCAGGCCUAACACAUGCAAGUCGAACGGUAGCACGGAGAGCUUGCUCUCGGGUGACGAGUGGCGGACGGGCGAGUAAUGUCUGGGAAACUGCCCGAUGGAGGGGGAUAACUACUGGAAACGGUAGCUAAUACCGCAUAACGUCUUCGGACCAAAGUGGGGGACCUUCGGGCCUCACACCAUCGGAUGUGCCCAGAUGGGAUUAGCUAGUAGGUUGGGUAAUGGCUCACCUAGGCGGCGAUCCCUAGCUGGUCUGAGAGGAUGACCAGCCACACGGGAGCUGAGACACGGUCCAGACUCCUACGGGAGGCAGCAGUGGGGAAUAUUGCAACAUGGGCGCAAGCCUGAGGCAGCCAUGCCGCGUGUAUGAAGAAGGCCUUCGGGUUGUAAAGUACUUUCAGCGGGGAGGAAGGCGUUAAGGUUAAUAACCUUGGCGAUUGACGUUACCCGCAGAAGAAGCACCGGCUAACUCCGUGCCAGCAGCCGCCGUAA